AUUGAACGCUGGCGGCAGGCUUAACACAUGCAAGUCGAGCGGGGUGAUGGUGCUUGCACUAUCACCUAGCGGCGGACGGGUGAGUAAUGCUUAGGAAUCUGCCUAUUAGUGGGGGACAACAUUUCGAAAGGAAUGCUAAUACCGCAUACGUCCUACGGGAGAAAGCAGGGGAUCUUCGGACCUUGCGCUAAUAGAUGAGCCUAAGUCGGAUUAGCUAGUUGGUGGGGUAAAGGCCUACCAAGGCGACGAUCUGUAGCGGGUCUGAGAGGAUGAUCCGCCACACUGGGACUGGGGCACGGCCCAGACUCCUACGGGAGGCAGCAGUGGGGAAUAUUGGACAAUGGGCGCAAGCCUGAUCCAGCCAUGCCGUGUGUGUGAAGAAGGCCUUAUGGUUGUAAAGCACUUUAAGCGAGGAGGAGGCUACUUUAGAUAAUACCUAGAGAUAGUGGACGUUACUCGCAGAAUAAGCACCGGCUAACUCUGUGCCAGCCGCCGCUGUAAUAC
rnacentral:rRNA from 1 species